rnacentral:lncRNA from 1 species
UAAACUAAAAUUAAUGUGAACUUCUAACUUCUUCCUUAGGGAGAAAAUAUCCCUGCAUAGUUUGACCCUUUUGACCGGAUAAUAGAAUGAAGAAAGAAGCAGUAUCUCUGGAUGUAUAGGCUUACUGAUUGCAGCUAUGAUUCGUUUUGUAGCAAGCAUGUCUUAAAUGUAUAUGAUGUUUUAUAUGCGUGCUGUUGUUGGUUGUUGAUUUAAAUGGUGUAUUUUUUGCUUAAGUGUAUAUGAUGUUUUAUAUGCGUGCUGUUGUUGGUUGUUGAUUUAAAUGGUGUAUUUUUUGCACAAAGCUGUUCUAAUUUUGGUCAUUUCAAGGCUGGCUGGUAUUGUGAUAUGUGGUUGGACUGAAUCUCUGGCAUUGCAAUCGAUUUCAUCAGUAGUUAGUAAUUUGUUGUUGCAGUAAAUGUGUCAAGCUACAUCAGCAUCCUUAUAUUAUAUAAUGAACUCUUGAGCUCAUGGAAAGUGGUUAGCAAAUUUGUGUUUUGAAAUUGAGUGAUUCUAGCAAGAGGUCAGUGACCACCAUUCUGUGCUUUUAUGCGCACGCUUGGUUAAUCUAUUGUCAUGUAAGCGCGCGUUGACGUAAUAAUGUCAUUAAACCAUUGGUUCUGCUUUUUCUGUCAUUUGUUCCAUGAUGCAAUUGUUUCUUCACUAGGUUAGAUGUCCAUCCCCUUAUUUAUUCUUAUUGCUUGUAGGGCAAGCCAUUUAGCAUAGGCGCAGUACUUGAUCACAGUCAUGAUAAGUAGAGUUAUUCAGGGUACUAUGCAUGUCAGCAUAUGCAUAAUUUGAAUACUUAGCUUUACAGGUUAUUCUGUUAUUUGUGGAGUCUAUAGUUGUUACUGGUUGGUUGAUUCUGAAGUUCUUAUUCCCUUUAUAGAUAGUUUUUAUAUGCAGAUCACACAUUGUUAUGAUUGAUAGUAGAUAUUAGGAUGUGUCUUAAAACAAGUAGCUGUGGUGAGUAGCAGCUAGGCAGAACGUGUUUUGAGUGCAAAAGGGAUCCUAAGUACUCAAGACCAAUCAGAUGAACAAGGUUAUGUAAAAAGGUCACAAGCAUAGC